AAAGAGACUUCAGAUACAGUAUUAAUGUCUUAAUGUCUUAAUGUCUUAAUGUCUCCAUGUCUCCAUGUGUUGUGCGUCCACCACCAGAGGUACAGAGUGGAGAAGGAGAAAGAUGAGUGGAGGAGAGGAUGGUGAUUUGUGGGACCUCUGGCGUAUUACCCUCCUAACGGGACCUUUAACCUCAUGUACUACCCGUACUACGGCAAGAAGGCUCAGGUGAACUACACCCAGCCUCUGGUAGCGGUGAAGUUCCUGAACGCCUCUCUGAACACAGACAUCAACGUAGAGUGUAAGAUCAACUCCAACACCCUGGACGCUGGCAGCGAGAGGGACAAGUUCGCUGGGAGGGUGUCCUUCAAGCUACGCAUCAACACCAAAUAGAGACACACACACACACACACAGACACACACACACACACACACACACUCAGACACACACACACUCAGAGAGACACACUCAGACACACACAGAGACACACACACAGACACAGAGAGGGACAAGUUCGCUGGGAGGGUGUCCUUCAAGCUACGCAUCAACACUAAAUAGAGACACACACACACACACACACACACACAGACACACACACACACACACACACACACACACACACACACACACACACACACACUCAGAGAGACACACUCAGACACACACAGAGAGGGACAAGUUCGCUGGGAGGGUGUCCUUCAAGCUACGCAUCAACACCAAAUAGAGACACACACACACACACACACACACACACACACACA